GACAGAGGGUGCAAACGUUGUUCGGAAUUACUGGGCGUAAAGCGAGUGUAGGCGGUCUGUAAAGUCGGGUGUGAAAGCCCCGGGCUCAACCCGGGAAGUGCACUCGAAACUCACAGGCUAGAGUAUCGGAGAGGUUGGUGGAAUUCUCGGUGUAGAGGUGAAAUUCGUAGAUAUCGAGUGGAACACCGGUGGCGAAGGCGGCCAACUGGACACAUAUUGACGCUGAGGUGCGAAAGCGUGGGGAGCAAACAGG
rnacentral:rRNA from 1 species